CCAAUCGCGUAUAUUAAAGUUGUUGCCGUUAAAAAGCUCGUAGUUGAACUUCGGGGUUUACUCAUUGGUCAGGCUUAAUUGUCUGUACUGGUGAGAUGAAUCUCUACCUUCUGAGGAACUUUCAUGCCAUUUAUUUGGUGUGAUGGGAAAUCAGGACUGUUACUUUGAAAAAAUUAGAGUGUUUAAAGCAGGCUAACGUCUGAAUACAUUAGCAUGGAAUAAUGAAAUAGGACGGACUGAUUCUAUUUCGUUGGUUUCUAGGAUCACCGUAAUGAUUAAUAGGGAUAGUUGGGGGCAUUAGUAUUCAAUUGUCAGAGGUGAAAUUCUUGGAUUUAUUGAAGACUAACUACUGCGAAAGCAUUUGCCAAGGAUGUUUUCAUUAAUCAAGAACGAAAGUUAGGGGAUCGAAGACGAUCAGAUACCGUCGUAGUCUUAACCAUAAACUAUGCCGACUAGGGAUCGGACGAAGUUAAUUUUAUAAUGACGCGUUCGGCACCUUACG
rnacentral:rRNA from 1 species